UCCCCGUUACCGGGGCAGUCUGACUAGAAAAAUACAACUAGCCACAAGGGUUGCGCUCGUUGCGGGACUUAACCCAACAUCUCACGACACGAGCUGACGACGGCCAUGCAUCACCUGUCACUGUGUUCCCGAAGGCACAAUCUCCUUUCGGAGACCUUCACAGGAUGUCAAGUCUGGGUAAGGUUCUUCGAUUAUCAUCGAAUUAAAGAACACGCUCCACCGCUUGUGCGGGUCCCCGUCAAUUCCUUUGAGUUUUAAUCUUGCGACCGUACUCCCCAGGCGGGAUGCUUAACGCGUUAGCUUCGCUACUGAACGGGUCGAGCGCCCAACAGCUAGCAUCCAUCGUUUACGGCGUGGACUAC
rnacentral:misc_RNA from 1 species